rnacentral:rRNA from 1 species
AAAGUGGCGCACGGGUGAGUAACGCGUGGAUAAUCUGCCCUUAUGAUCGGGAUAACAGUUGGAAACGGCUGCUAAUACCGGAUACGCUCAAAAUGAACUUUUUGAGGAAAGAUGGCCUCUGCUUGCAUGCUAUCACGUAAGGAUGAGUCCGCGUCCCAUUAGCUUGUUGGCGGGGUAACGGCCCACCAAGGCAACGAUGGGUAGCCGAUUUGAGAGGAUGAUCGGCCACACUGGAACUGAAACACGGUCCAGACCCCUACGGGAGGCAGCAGUGGGGAAUAUUGCGCAAUGGGCGAAAGCCUGACGCAGCGACGCCGCGUGAGGGGAAUGAAGGUUUUCGGAUCGUAAACCUCUGUCAGAAGGGAAGAAACUACGUUGUGCUAAUCAGCAGCGUACUGACGGUACCUUCAAAGGAAGCACCGGCUAACUCCGUGCCAGCAGCUGC